rnacentral:rRNA from 1 species
CCUACGGGAGGCUGCAGUGGGGAAUAUUGGACAAUGGGGGCAACCCUGAUCCAGCCAUGCCGCGUGUGUGAAGAAGGCCCUCGGGUUGUAAAGCACUUUCAGUGAGGAAGAACGCCUGGUGGUUAAUACCCAUCAGGAAAGACAUCACUCACAGAAGAAGCACCGGCUAACUCCGUGCCAGCAGCCGCGGUAAUACGGAGGGUGCGAGCGUUAAUCGGAAUUACUGGGCGUAAAGCGCGCGUAGGUGGCUUGAUAAGCCGGUUGUGAAAGCCCCGGGCUCAACCUGGGAACGGCAUCCGGAACUGUCAAGCUAGAGUGCAGGAGAGGAAGGUAGAAUUCCCGGUGUAGCGGUGAAAUGCGUAGAGAUCGGGAGGAAUACCAGUGGUGAAGGCGGCCUUCUGGACUGACACUGACACUGAGGUGCGAAAGCGUGGGUAGCAAACAGGAUUAGAUACCCUAGUAGUC